ACAAGCGCCCAUUCAGCUCUGAUUCUGGUAUCUUUCUGUUUGGACACAACCCCAAUUCCCAUCUUGUGACCCGAUGAUGCUUUAUGUGUUGCAACAUGAAGUUCCAUCAGGUCUGUUGCCUCUAUUUGUUCCUCCCCUUGGCUUGCAUUUGUUGCAUCUGUUUCUGAUGUACUCCUAGCUGGUGUGACUCUACCAGCUUCAUCAAAGUCGAACCACUCAGUGUUCGCUCUUUGCACAACUCUGAAUCCAUCCUUCACUUUCCCUUCGAAUUCCAGUUCAUUCCUGUCUUUCCAUAGUUGCCAAAGAAUAUUAGCUGUCAAAGCUAUAUGCUGUCUUCCUUCCUUUCUACUUCGAGCUUGAGUUAAGGCUGCCCACCACUGCCUAAAGCAUCCAGUUUGGUUC
rnacentral:lncRNA from 1 species